GACAGAGGCCCCAAGCGUUAGGCGGAAUCACUGGGCUUAAAGCGUGUGUAGGCGGACGCCUAAGUGUCUUGUGAAAUCCCACGGCUCACCCGUGGAACUGCUGGGCAUACUGGGCGUCUUGGGCCAUUGGGGGCAACCGGAACAAGCGGUGGAGCGGUGAAAUGCGUAGAUAUCGCUUGGAACGCCGAAGGUGAAAACAGGUCUCUGGGGUAUGCGCGCUGAGACACGAAAGCCAGGGGAGCAAACGGG
rnacentral:rRNA from 1 species